UGGCAAACGACCGGGUCCCACACCGAAGCAUUUGUUUUCCGAGCACAUGGGUGUAGGUCCGAGGGCCCCACACGUAUGGUGACGUCACUCUGGAGAUUCGUGCACCUGGGAAUGUGGGCCCUGCCUGUGGAGCCAAUAAAACGUCAACCCCGCGGCUUCAAAAUUGAUGCGUGUGGGACCAAAAAAUGACGAUAAACAA
rnacentral:lncRNA from 1 species